rnacentral:rRNA from 1 species
GUGGGGAAUCUUGCGCAAUGGGCGAAAGCCUGACGCAGCCAUGCCGCGUGAAUGAUGAAGGUCUUAGGAUUGUAAAAUUCUUUCACCGGGGACGAUAAUGACGGUACCCGGAGAAGAAGCUCCGGCUAACUUCGUGCCAGCAGCCGCGGUAAUACGAAGGGGGCUAGCGUUGCUCGGAAUUACUGGGCGUAAAGGGCGCGUAGGCUGACAGCUUAGUCAGAGGUGAAAGCCCAGGGCUCAACCUUGGAAUUGCCUUUGAUACUGGCUGUCUUGAGUUUGGGAGAGGUGAGUGGAACUCCGAGUGUAGAGGUGAAAUUCGUAGAUAUUCGGAAGAACACCAGUGGCGAAGGCGACUCACUGGCCCAAUACUGACGCUGAGGCGCGAAAGCGUGGGGAGCAAACAGGAUUAGAUACCCCGGUAGUCC